UAAGGAAUAUUGGUCAAUGGACGCAAGUCUGAACCAGCCAUGCCGCGUGGAGGGUGAAGGCCCUCUGGGUUGUAAACUUCUUUUAUGGGGGGACGAAAUCACUUAUUCUUAAGUGUCUGACGGUACCCCAGGAAUAAGCACCGGCUAACUCCGUGCCAGCAGCCGCGGUAAUACGGAGGGUGCAAGCGUUAUCCGGAUUCACUGGGUUUAAAGGGUGCGUAGGAGGGCAGGAAAGUCAGUGGUGAAAUCCUAGGGCUUAACUCUAGAACUGCCGUUGAUACUACUUGUCUUGAAUAUCGUGGAGGUGAGCGGAAUAUGUCAUGUAGCGGUGAAAUGCUUAGAUAUGACAUAGAACACCAAUUGCGAAGGCAGCUCACUACACGAAUAUUGACUCUGAGGGCACGAAAGCGUGGGGAUCAAAACAGGAUUAGAUACCCUGGUAGUCCACGCCCUAAACUAUGGAUACUCGACAUACGCGAUACACUGUGUGUGUCUGAGCGAAAGCAUUAAGUAUCCCACCUGGGAAGUACGACCGCAAGGUUGAAACUUAAAGGAAUUGACGGGGGUCAUAGCUGUUUCCU
rnacentral:rRNA from 1 species